rnacentral:rRNA from 1 species
AUUGAACGCUGGCGGAAUGCUUUACACAUGCAAGUCGAACGGUAGAGGGGGCAACCCCUCGAGAGUGGCGAACGGGUGAGUAAUAUAUCGGAACGUGCCCAGUCGUGGGGGAUAACGUAGCGAAAGUUACGCUAAUACCGCAUACGACCUAAGGAUGAAAGCGGGGGAUCGCAAGACCUCGCGCGAUUGGAGCGGCCGAUAUCAGAUUAGGUAGUUGGUGGGGUAAAGGCUCACCAAGCCAACGAUCUGUAGCUGGUCUGAGAGGACGACCAGCCACACUGGAACUGAGACACGGUCCAGACUCCUACGGGAGGCAGCAGUGGGGAAUUUUGGACAAUGGACGCAAGUCUGAUCCAGCCAUUCCGCGUGCAGGACGAAGGCCCUCGGGUUGUAAACUGCUUUUGUACGGAACGAAAAGGUCUCUCUUAAUACGGGGGACUCAUGACGGUACCGUAAGAAUAAGCACCGGCUAACUACGUGCCAGCCGCCGCGGUAA